rnacentral:misc_RNA from 1 species
GAUGAAGAACGCAGCGAAAUGCGAUACUUGGUGUGAAUUGCAGAAUCCCGUGAACCAUCGAGUCUUUGAACGCAAGUUGCGCCUCAAGCCAUUAGGUUGAGGGCACGUCUGCCUGGGCGUCACAUAUCGUUGCCUGAUGCCAGUUUCCUCGUGAUGGGUGACUGUGCAGGGCGAAUGAUGGCUUCCCGUGAGCAUUGUUGCCUCAUGGUUGGUUGAAAAUUGAGUCCUUGGUAGGGAGCGCCGUGAUAGAUGGUGGUUGAGUGACGAACGAGACCCAAUCAUGUGAGACCCCUACCGAAUUUGGCCUUCAUGACCCACAUGCGUCUUUGGAACGCUCAUGACGAGACCUCAGGUCAGGCGGGGCUACCGCUGAGUUUAAGCAUAUCAAUAAGCGGAGGA